GGCACUUCUCAGGUGACACACCCUGGAAUCGGGCUCCCUCCUCUCUGGUUCCAGGUGUGUCACUCAAAAACCACA
rfam:Myotis davidii contig43532, whole genome shotgun sequence.